ACCAAAUAUUCAUAAACAGGAAUGCUUUCAAGGAUGUUUUGAGAAUAGCUCCUUUCCCACCAAUCACCCAUUUAUUUGGCAAAUUACCCUCUUAGUUAAAAGGAAUUACUAAAAAGCCUGGUAGUCCUGAGCCAUCUUUGGAGUCUCCCCUGUGGUAUGGGUGCAUAGCCCAGGACCGUCCUGUUGGGACUCUGGUGGCUGAUCUCGGGACUCCCCAGCCACAAGAUCCAGAUGUAGAUGAUUCCCCUGAUGGUGACGAUCAAUUAUGGCGGAGUGGAUCAUUACCCAGGAGGUCUUUCAAAAAAGUCGACAUACUCCCCAUGGUUCACCUGCUCACUUGGAGGCAACCCACUAACCUGACCAGUUUUGUUUUGUACCUUAAGACAUUGAAAAUUAAAUGCCCUGAAUGAAGAGAAUCACAGACUCUCAGAAGCUAUCCAGUCCAAUCAAUAACUGACAUCCGACCUCUCCAUAACAAGCACAGAUUGGGGAAGAAAAAAAAACCCAUUGUCUUCAUGAUUAUUUGAUAUUGUGGUCAAGAGAUGACCUGUGAAAUAACAUCUGAUGACUUUUACAUUCAGCAGUGUGACAUUUGAAGUUUUUUUAUUAGUGUUUUAGAGAAGUUUUUUUUUCCCUGUACAGGUAUUGAUACUUUGCAUUUCUUCUCUUGAAAAUUGUUUGCUCCUAUCCUUUGACCACUGACUGAUGACUCUUGGUCAUAAACAUUUAUAUCAGUUCAUUUUUAUCUUGGAUAUCAUACCUCUAUGAGAGAUAUUUUGUGCAAAGUUUUCUCCCCCAAAGAGAAUGUUCUCUUCUCAUUUUGUUAACAUUGAUUUUGUCUGCACAAAAGCUUUUAAAUUUAAUAUAAUCAAAAUUGUCUUUUCUUAUCUCUGUCUUUUGUUUAGUUACGGCUUUUCAAACCCUAGAUUUGAAACGUACCUCCUUCUGUUCUCUUCUACUUUAAAAAUAAAUGAUAGGGCCUUUUAUAUUGUUUGCUCAUCCUCUUGGAGCUAAUUUUGGCAUGUGGUGUGUGAUAUUAGUCUAAUCCUAAUCUCUGUCAAACUCUUUCCAGUUUUCUCAGCAAUUCUUAUCAAAUAACAAUUCCUUCCCCUAAGAAGUUUAUGUUCCUAGGUUUUCCAGAUGCUGGGCUGCUACGUGAAAUUAGUUCUGGGUUUUGUGUUCCUAAUUUGUCUUCAAAAUCAACUUAAUUUUUAAAAUUAGUACCAAAUACAUUCAUUAAUUCUUGCUUUAUAGUAUAAUUUGAAAUCUGUUAACAUUAGACACCCUUUCUGCCUGUUUUUUUACAUUAUUUCCCUUAAAAUUCUUGACCUUUUGUUCCUCCAGAUGAAUGUGAUUAUUUUGCUUAACUCUAUUAAGUAAUUCCUUAAUAGUAUGAUUAGGAUAAUACUAAAACUGCAAAUUAAUUUAGGUAAUAUUAUCAUUUUUUAUAUUAAUUCUGCAUAAUUCUGAAUAGCAAAUAUAUUCCAAUUAUUUGUCUUCUUUAUUUUUCUUUUUAUUUAAUUUUUUUGUAUUCAUUUAGUAUUUUAUUUUUUCCCAGUU